GACAGAGGCCCCGAGCGUUAGGCGGAAUCACUGGGCUUAAAGCGUGUGUAGGCGGGCCCGUAAGUGUCUUGUGAAAUCCCACGGCUCAACCGUGGAACUGCUGGGCAUACUGCGGGUCUUGGGCCAACUAGGGGCAGCCGGAACAAGCGGUGGAGCGGUGAAAUGCGUAGAUAUCGCUUGGAACGCCGAAGGUGAAAACAGGCUGCUGGGGUUGCGCCGACGCUGAGGAGCGAAAGCAUGGGGAGCGAACAGG
rnacentral:rRNA from 1 species